rnacentral:siRNA from 1 species
UGCGAAAGCAUUUGCCAAGGAUG